UGCAUGAAUAAAUCUUAAUAUUUAUGGCAACUAAAAAAAAAAUCUAACGGAGGAGGGCUGGACUUUAAGACCAACCUUGAAAAACAGGUAGGAUUCAGGAACAUACAAUAGGUGGGGAAAGGCAUUCCAGAUAAGGGCAAUUCAAAGCCCACAGUCUAGAACAGAGGGUUUUUGUAGAGAAUGGUGGGAUUUAAGUUUGUAAAAGUAGUAUCAAUGGAUUGAAGGGACUUCAGAGAUCAUAGCCUAAGCUCUAUUUUUACAGUUUAGAAGUUAAGUGACUGAAACUAGAAUGUAGAAGGCCUUACACUGGUAACAAAGUUUAGAGCUGAGCCAAAAGGCUGUGGGAAAUCUUUGAAGAUUUUGAAAUAAGGGAAUGACAUGGGAAUGGCAUAAUAAUGACAUUUAAGGAAUAUCUGAGGAAACUCAUGAAAUACUCUCUUUUAUGCAGGCUCCAGGAGUGUGGCUGUUUAUAGAGGCUCCCUCCCUUCUAGAUUCCUGGCAACUGGGGUUAAGUGACUUGCCCAGGCUCACACAGCUACAAAAAGAGCUGAACCUUUAGCUAGAGGACAAAAGUGAACAUUGACUUCUCCUAAACCAAGUCUCAAGAUGCCCAAAGGAGGUGUCAAGACUUUGAAAGGAUGCUCCACCUGGAGAUGAAACCCAGAUUGCUUCAAGUAAUGGUUUCACUUUACUUCAGUGCUCCAAGAGGCUGUUUGUACCUCAGUAAUGAAUUAUGAUAUGAUGGAGUGCUUCUGGAAGUGACAGAACUUAAAGAAUGACUGUGCCUAUGCCAGCAGCAGACAUGUCAUUUCACUGUUCACACACUGUCACCCCAGCAAUCCUGCUCUUGUAACCAGGGGCUCCAAAUCCAAGGUUUUUCCUGCACAAUAAAUACCCUUCUGUGACCUUCAGCAACUCAGGGAAACAAAGGAGGGGCCGAUUAGAAGUGCAGCAUGGCUAUACUGGUCCUCUGCCAUCCCAAGACCACAGCAUGCUACUGACAG